UCUGGCGGCAGUAGCGCGGUGGUCCCACCUGACCCCAUGCCGAACUCAGAAGUGAAACGCCGUAGCGCCGAUGGUAGUGUAGGGUCUCCCCAUGCGAGAGUAGGGAACUGCCAGAC
rnacentral:rRNA from 7 species